rnacentral:tRNA from 1 species
GGGGGAUUAGCUCAUUUGGCUAGAGCGUUGCCUGGCAGGCAAGAGGUGACCGGUUCGAAUCCGGUAUUCUCCA